UCUGCGAUUUCCGAAUGGGGAAACCCAACUGCAUAAGCAGUUACUGUUAACUGAAUACAUAGGUUAACAGAGCAAACCGGGGGAACUGAAACAUCUAAGUACCCCGAGGAGAAGAAAUCAACCGAGAUUCCGGUAGUAGCGGCGAGCGAACCUGGAUUAGCCCUUAAGCACUCGGUGAAGUAGGUGAACAAGCUGGAAAGCUUGGCGAUACAGGGUGAUAGCCCCGUAACCGACGCUUCAUCGAGCGUGAAAUCGAGUAGGGCGGGACACGUGAUAUCCUGUCUGAAUAUGGGGGGACCAUCCUCCAAGGCUAAAUACUCCUGACUGACCGAUAGUGAACCAGUACCGUG
rnacentral:rRNA from 1 species